GAGGAACGACCCGACACGUGAGGCGUAUCACCCUUGAACCGAUAAAUCUUUCAUAGGGAGCUGGCUCUGUUGUAGCUGUGGUUACAUUAUCUGGUGCCCACCUGUAUACACAGGUUCAGAGAGGUUAGAAAGACCCACGGUCAGGGUGGUUCCUCU
rnacentral:other from 1 species